AGUUUGAUCCUGGCUCAGGAUGAACGCUGGCGGCGUGCCUAACACAUGCAAGUCGAACGGGGCGCGCCGAUGGAAACUUUUCGGAGCGGAAAUUGGCGCUGCCUAGUGGCGGACGGGUGAGUAACGCGUGAGCAACCUGCCCUGCACUGGGGGACAACAGCUGGAAACGGCUGCUAAUACCGCAUAGGCGCACAGCCCCGCAUGGGGCGGUGUGGAAAGUAAUAUGGUGCAGGAUGGGCUCGCGUCUGAUUAGCUUGUUGGCGGGGUAACGGCCCACCAAGGCGACGAUCAGUAGCCGGCCUGAGAGGGUGGACGGCCACAUUGGGACUGAGGCACGGCCCAGACUCCUACGGGAGGCAGCAGUGGGGGAUAUUGCACAAUGGGGGGAACCCUGAUGCAGCGACGCCGCGUGGGCGAUGGAGUACUUCGGUAUGUAAAGCCCUAUCAGCAGGGAAGAAAAUGACGGUACCUGACUAAGAAGCCCCGGCUAAAUACGUG
rnacentral:rRNA from 1 species